AGGUAUUCGGUAUUCACACGCCGGUCCGGCUUUAAGAGAAACUUGACACAGCAUUCGGUCCGUCCACGCGCGCACGGCGCUUGGCCUUUGGCCUCAGCCGCGCCAGAUCUGGUCGCAUCAAAUAGUUUUGUCACCCAGGACGAUUGCCGACCAGGUGUUCGAUGGUUGGAGUGGAGUCCGGCCGACAUGCCGCCGACCUCCGCCUGCGUCCUUUCGCAGCCCAUCAACGUCCAGCCUUCUUCGCGAGACAAGCAAGCUCUGAUCGAUUUCGUCCUUCAGCCAUCACAUCGCAUCCUUGGUUUUAGUCAUCGGAUGGGGAUAGGUUUCUGUUUUCAUGCUGCUGUUUGAUUUCUGGAUCUCCCUGUUGCUGAGCACAGCUCUCGGCUUUUUGGUUGUCUUUGUGUUAAAAGGAUAACUUACAGGAGGUAUGUGAUAGUAUUAUGAGGCAAGUGAACAUUACAAGGUUCCACAACGCAUGCUUUUAUCUUCUUCUGCUCGUAGAUUCCUGUGUUCAAAAUGCCAUUCAUUAUGUUCUCCUCAAGUUUCUUUUAUUCUUUGAGGUGGUUGUGCCAUGGAAUCUUUAUACUCGAUCCUCAAAUAAUUCGGUGGUGGUCACUCAAAUUCAGGCACCAAAAACAUGGAUAAUAUGUUUACACUGUGAACUCACUGUUGAUAAGCCCAAAGAAAUAUGUAUAACAGGUAAGAGUUAAAAGUAAUUCUAGCACAAGCAGGAUUGAAUCUGCAAAUAAUUUCAAAGAGAUGGUAUCAUGAGAUAGUAUCAAAGAUACCUGAGCUGAUUCUUCUGUUUAUAUUUUGGUCAAUUGCAUUCUGUGAGUUAAUUCUGGUUAGUGGUCACUAUGCUUUCUUAUAUGCUCUACAUCCUGGCUUGUGUCAUUCUAUUAAUGUUCGUGGCAAAGGAGCUGAUACUCUUGGUGGUUGUUGUGUAUGUGCUUUUCCCAUUAGUUAAUUGUUCUUGUGCUUGUCCUUGACCUUAGUCCUUGUUCUUCUUUAUUACUCCUACUCCUAGAUACCUUUGUUGUGCUCUGACGAUUUGUCUCAUGAUGUUAUGACAUUGGUUUCGACCAAAUUAGAAAUGGAGUAGGUGGUGAUAACCAAAACAUCUACAGAUAUCAUAUCACCACAUUCAGUUUCCUUGCAUGAUCAUUAUUAAUGACAACAAAGUUCUCAGUAGGACUCAAAACAGCAUUGCUGUUAAUUUCGCUCUAGUGACUGGUACUUUGUCAGAUCAAGAGGAGGUAUGCAGGUGCCGCAAAUUUCUUGAAGGAAUUGCAGAUGAUGAUGAAAGUCUGAUAAGAGUUUAGAUGGUGUCCUAUAGAUCGGUGAAUUUAUUGAACUAUAGUAAUCGAUUUGAUGUGAUGAAGAUGCAGAAAACCUUUUAAGG